rnacentral:rRNA from 1 species
GGAGGAAAGUAGGGGAUCGAAAGACCUUGCGCUAAAGGAGCGGCCGAUGUCUGAUUAGCUAGUUGGUGGGGUAAAGGCUUACCAAGGCAACGAUCAGUAGUUGGUCUGAGAGGAUGACCAACCACACUGGGACUGAGACACGGCCCAGACUCUACGGGAGGCAGCAGUGGGGAAUUUUGGACAAUGGGCGAAAGCCUGAUCCAGCCAUGCCGCGUGAGUGAAGAAGGCUUCGGGUUGUAAAGCUCUUUUAGUCAGAAAGAAAGAAUCAUGAUGAAUAAUUAUGAUUUAUGACGGUACUGACAGAAAAAGCACCGGCUAACCACGUGCCAGCAGCCGCGGUAAUACGUAGGGUGCGAGCGUUAAUCGGAAUUACUGGGCGUAAAGGGUGCGCAGGCGGUUUUGUAAGUCAGAUGUGAAAGCCCCGGGCUUAACCUGGGAAUUGCGUUUGAAACUACAAGGCUAGAGUGCAGCAGAGGGGAGUGGAAUUCCAUGUGUAGCAGUGAAAUGCGUAGAGAUGUGGAAGAACACCGAUGGCGAAGGCAGCUCCCUGGGUUGACACUGACGCUCAUGCACGAAAGCGUGGG